GACGAACGCUGGCGGCGUGCUUAACACAUGCAAGUCGAACGGAAAGGCCCUGCUUUUGUGGGGUGCUCGAGUGGCGAACGGGUGAGUAACACGUGAGUAACCUGCCCUUGACUUUGGGAUAACUUCAGGAAACUGGGGCUAAUACCGGAUAGGAGCUCCUGCUGCAUGGUGGGGGUUGGAAAGUUCGGCGGUUGGGGAUGGACUCGCGGCUUAUCAGCUUGUUGGUGGGGUAGUGGCUUACCAAGGCUUUGACGGGUAGCCGGCCUGAGAGGGUGACCGGCCACAUUGGGACUGAGAUACGGCCCAGACACCUACGGGAGGCAGCAGUGGGGAAUAUUGCACAAUGGGCGGAAGCCUGAUGCAGCAACGCCGCGUGCGGGAUGACGGCCUUCGGGUUGUAAACCGCUUUCGCCUGUGACGAAGCGUGAGUGACGGUAAUGGGUAAAGAAGCACCGGCUAACUACGUG
rnacentral:rRNA from 1 species